UUGGCUGUUUGCUGUCAGUACCAUGUUUGUGUAGGCUUUAUGUACAUUCUUUUGACUUACUCAUGCUUACCAUGCUUGUCUGCUCAGGGUACGCAACAUUAUCAUAUAUUGCCUUCCAUCAGCAUGUGAUCAUAUUUUGAUGCUGUUGUCCUCACAUGACGUACUUGAAGGUGAAACAUCAUUGAUGGUGGGAGACAAUUCCAUUCCUUUUAGCUGACGUCAUGUUGCUUGGAGUCUUUCCAUCAACAAAAGGAGAUUCCAGAUACCGGAGAUUCCAGUACCUGGAAUUGCUCUCUAGGUGAUUUACGCCUCCAGACUGUCAACUCUUUUCAUUGUUGUAAAGUUGCUCUACCUGGAUGAACUGGUUUUCUUUUAUAGUGUUUAUCUCUUUACAAAAGGAUUGGAGUUUUCUCGUUAUAUCCGCAAUCUGAAUUCUGUUCUUUUGAAUCAUGCACUCCAGUUUGUCAGGCCUGGUGCUACUAGGUUGUGACAGUGUGGAGAAAAUGUCAUGGGGGGCCCAACCCAUUCUUACCUCUCUCACUUAGAGGGGAUUUGCUUGGUGUAAUAAGCAGGGGAGGGAAGUCAUCCUCAUCCAUGAUGCUGAUCCAACAUGUUCUGUGUCACGUUCUGGCAGAAUAAUGGUAAAUAUACUAACUGUGCAGAUUAUUGUAAUAUUGCAGUGUGCGGGUUAUUGUAAUAUUGCAGUGUGCGGGUUAUUGUAAUAUUACAGUAUACUGCUUUCUCCGCAUCCAGCGAAGGGGCAAUGCUUAGGCAUUUUCAACUUAGCUUGCCUUACUCGCACAAAAGUGACAAGAGCAUCAUUUACUUUGACUUAAGAUUUUUAUUAUGUGACUAAUACCCUGUUAACCUCAUCCACUGAAGACCUGGCAUUAACCAAGGGGAAAAGCAAGCCAAUUUCAGCACAAGCUUUUCUAUGUUUGUUUGCCUAUUUAUUUAUUUAU